UCUUGACUCUUGAGAACUUCAAUCGUCAAAUUUGUAACGGGAACCCUUGAUCGUGGAGAUCGAGGCUCUUAAUCGUUGAAGUAUUCGUCUUGUGGUCCGAUUUCUAUUCCUCGUUCUUCGUUUCUUAUUCUAUAUCUCUCUAACUUAUUCCCAAAUCCCAAUUUAUGUAAAUCGAUUACUACUGGUCUGCUGCUAACGUUCCAUUCUUAAUUUCAAUCGAUUAAAUUCGAUUUUUUCCUUCAUUCCAAGUUCUAUCAACGAUUCAAAGUUACUGUGCUUGAUUUGGGUUCGAUUUUUUUCUGCCUAAAGCAAGAGGAAAACGGAAGAAGACUUAAAUCAGUGAGUUUUUUUUUUCUUUUGUUUGUUUCUUAUUACGUUUCUAUAAGUCUAUUACAUUUUAAUAACGUUUCUGUAAGUCUAUUAGUCUAUUACCUUUUAAUUACUUCAAUUGUUCUUGAUUUUUUUUUUGUUCAAAAUCAUUGGUUUUAACUUCAAAAGAUUAAAAUGGGUUUCUUUUUGGUUUCAAGAAAUUGAUGAUUGCAUUAAGAUUUGUGACUCAAUUUCGUUGAUUCUAAUGUAGAUUAGUUUGAUUUUACAAGUGACGACAUCCAUCCACUAAGCAUCUUUAAACAUAUAUAUUAAUCUGAGUUCUUUUUUUUAAUCAUUUGAAUACAAUGUCUUGACAUGAAAAUCUAAUGAAAAUGUUUUAAUGUUUGAUUUUUACACAGUCAGUAUUAUUUACUGCACAAUAUCAUUUACUGCGGUCCCAUUAUUCGCAAGUACUGUAAUCUGGUUUGUGGGAUUGGUCUAUUCUUGCUCCUAAUUUGUUGCUGGCUUGCUGCUACUGUUGCUUUCUGAUUGGGAUUCACAAGGCUUUUUUGUUUUGGUAUUUGACAACUGUGAAAGAUUAAAUGGAUUAUCAAUUUUGAGUAUUGAAAAUACUUAAAAAGUGAUUUUUUACAAAGUAUUGAUUAUUGUAAAAUAAGAGAUGUUUUUGUUUCAAAAAAUGCACGAAGACAUUGUUUUAGGUGAUGUUUGUAGGUUUUUGUUUGUAUUGUAUUGUUUGUUUGAUUAUAAAAGUUAUUAUAUUUUUGAUUUUCUAAUUUUUUUAUAUAUAAGGGCAUAAAUUUUUUUAUCUCGCCCUGGAUAGCAAAAAACAAUGGACCGGCCCUGCUCGGGGAGCUAGUGGAGCAGGAGUUCAGAGAGUUGUCGGGCAGCAUCCAAAAGGUUAUCAGCAAGUUCAGCAGUUCGAGGUGAGUUUCCCUUUGUGUGAAUGGGUCUACGGCCACAAUGUCAGCCCAUGUAGUUAUGAGUAGAAGACCCGGGGGUUAGCCUUAGGCACAGUAUGCUAGUAUGAUAUUCAGGACGAGGUUCAAAGAUAGCGGGCGGGUCCCCAAAGAAUGGUUUAUGUGAUAAUUUAUACUUGUUGUCUGUGUGAUACUUGUAUGUGCCUGGUAGGGAGGUGAGUGUGGGCGAGGUCCCGUAUCUCACCAAGAGCAGAGUGUGGGUUGGGCCCGUAUCUCACUAUCAGUAGGAGCAUGAACGGGGUUCCAUGACUCAUCAGUAGCAGGACAAGGGCGAGGCCUUUGGACAGGAUCCGUUGGUAUGUGUAUAGCUUAUGUGUUGUGAUAUGUUUAUAUCCUAUUAUAUGUUAGCGGGCGAGGCCCUGUGACAGGCGAGGCCUAAGUGAAACAGAUCGAUAUCCGAGCGGGGCUCGAAGCCAGGCGGGGCCUGGAGCGGCGGGGCCGUUGUAGCGGGUGAGGCCCGAGGGAGGGGCGAGGCCCAGGAUAACGGGCGUGGCCCAGUAUGUGCAGUAUGUGGUCAUGCAUGGUACUUCCGGUAGCGGAGGGAAGAGCUCGGGGUGAUCGCAUGGUACACACCAUAGACUAGACAGCCAUGGAAUGUUUUACUCUGAUAACGAACAUGUGUUUUGGAAAUUAAUACUCUGAUUAUGAUCCGGAUUGAUGAUUUUACUUUAAGUAAUGUUUUAUUAAAAGAAAUUUUUAGUCUUGAAUUUUGGGACGUUACAAGUUGGUAUCAGAGCCUUGGUUUGAGGGAUUCGGGCAUACUCUCGGGUGUGCCUGAACUCAAAUUAAUGGGGUCGGUUAAAAAGUUUUCAAAAUGAAAAGACAGUUUUGUAAAAAUGAAGGUUUUAGAAAAUGAAACGGUUUUAGAAAAUGAAACAGUUUUAGAAAAGCAAAAAGAACUCAGAAAGAAAAAGAACUUUUAAGAAAGAAAAGGGGUGUGGUGCAUGCAAUCAGCCGAGCUCAAGUAAGUACCCCAAAUUUGAUGGGUUUUGGUCAUAAGACAUCCUAUGUGCUCAUACAAACCCUAAUGCUUGGAUCUAGGUUUCUCUAUUGUACAUGCUUUGAAUCC